rnacentral:lncRNA from 1 species
AUUAUGGUCUUUGAUGUACUAUUCUGCCACCACAUUGAUGUCCUGACAGCUAUAAUUUCAUAUUAUAUUUUUAAAGUAUAUUCUCAGUCUAAUAUGUAAAAUAAUUAUUAUUUUCAUUUUUUUAGGCAUGACUUCUCAUCAUACCCAGGAAAUUUUACCAGAACCUAUCAGGGAACAUUUAUUUAAAAAAGUGAUAAAGAGAAGAUAUAGAAAUUGUGACCUUGACUAUUUACAACAAAAGAAAAUACAGAACAGUGAAAAGGGAAACGUAAAAUGUGAAUAUUUUUGGCUUUCUUGAGGAUUGCCUGAAAACCACUUUCUGUCUACCAUGAGAAAGACCUGGA